rnacentral:rRNA from 1 species
UUAAUGUGACCUCAAAUCAGGUAGGACUACCCGCUGAACUUAAGCAUAUCAAUAAGCGGAGGAAAAGAAACUAACAAGGAUUCCCCUAGUAACUGCGAGUGAAGCGGGAAAAGCUCAAAUUUAAAAUCUGGCGGUCUUAUGGCUGUCCGAGUUGUAAUCUAGAGAAGUGUUAUCCGCGCUGGACCGUGUACAAGUCUCCUGGAAUGGA